CUGGAAUGGGCUCAUGACUAUUUAAACUACUGAGGUGUGGAAGAACAUUCUCUGAGGGUUUUUGGCAAAGAGGUUUCCUCGCUCUUAAACGAAGUCUCCUGGAAACCAGCUUGCUGCAUCCACCAAACAUCAUGAAGUAGAGACAGGAAGCCAGCACCUGCUGUAGCUAUUCUUUCCAUCAUGAGUUUCCUAAAAGCCUGAGGAUAAAAUCAGCCUACGGGCCGAGCCCAACCUAAGGGAUCGAAGAGAACCGGAGCCAGAGCAGCCUGAGGAAUCAAUUGCAAGCCUUUCCCACCUUUGGAUUUUCAGAAGAUGCAUGUGGAAGGGUAUGGAGCUGUCCCAUUCUGUGUGUGGAAGUGCUAACGACAGGGCAAGGCAACAUGAGGAGAAAAUACCCUUCGCUAUAGCUUACAUUCGUGCUCCAGUAUGUAACAUGUGUAAUGGAACCAAAAGCCUCCAACAGUUCAUCAUUUGUCACAGCCAACUCUCUUCAUCCCGCUCUUAAACUUCCUCCCACUGGUGAGUAGUAAAAACAUUAAAAACAAGCCAAUCUGUAGGUUUUAUCAUGGUUUUUACUCUUGGUGUGUCCAUUCCUUUUCUUCAUGAAGAAAAAGAAUUAAAUCCUGAGUUCAAAAUAUUUAGCCAGAUGAUGAAAGAUGGCCUUAGAGACGCAAUUUCCUUCCUCCUUUUGGUAGCGUAGCCAAGAGUGGGCUCAGCUGGACAGCAAGGCCUUUGGCUAACACGGUGUUCCUGGUGGGCAAGGCUGUUCCCAGGCCCUCAGAAUGCAGACUCCCUGGCACUGUCCCCAGGCCUGGGGAUUCCUUGAUCUACUUCUUAUCACUUCAAGAACACAGAUGUUCCUUGGCCAUUCUUGGGCUCACCCAUAAAUAUGUAACAUGGUAUCAACACCCGCUAAGCUUUUCAUCCAACUUCAAGGCAAAGGAGCAGGUUAUUCUCAGACUCUUAAGUAGGAGACAUUACAUUUUUUUUGUGCACAAUAGCAGUGUCAUGUGGAGAUGUUGUGUACAAUUUGACUGGCUCUUUGAUCUAGGACAGAUUUGGCCAUAGUUACAGCACAGAGCUUUGGUUGCUGCUUCUGCUACUGCAACUACUGACUAUAAAGAGUCCCACGUACUCUUUGCACCACCGCUAGUACUGCCACCGUAACUCGUGCUCCCAUUGUUGUUACUAC